UGAGGAAUUUUGCGCAAUGGGCGAAAGUCUGACGCAGCGACGCCGCGUGGAGGAAGACGGCCUUCGGGUUGUAAACUCCUGUCAGGGGUGAAGAAACUUCGCAAGAAGCUGACGGUAACCCCAGAGGAAGCCCCGGCUAACUACGUGCCAGAAGCCGCGGUAAUACGUAGGGGGCAAGCGUUGCUCGGCAUUACUGGGCGUAAAGGGGGUGUAGGUGGCUGAUUAAGUUAAGGAUGAAAUCCCGAGGCUCAACUGCGGAACUGUCCUGGAGACGGGUCAGCUUGAGGCUAGUAAAGGAGAGCGGAAUUCCCGGUGGAGCGGUGAAAUGCGUAGAUAUCGGGAGGAACACCAGAGGCGUAGGCGGUUCUCUAGGCUAGUCCUGACACUGAGACACGAAAGCUAGGGGAGCAAACG
rnacentral:rRNA from 1 species